CAACCCUCGAGCCCCUACGGGCUUGGUGUUGGGGACUCGGCCGCCGCCCACGGCCGGCCGGCCCCGAAAUGCAGUGGCGGUCCCGCCCGCAGCGUCCUCUCGCGUAGUAGCACACACCUCGCACUGGAACGCGGCGCGGCCACGCCGUAAAGCAAAGAGGCGCCCGCCUACUUUCUCUUUCAAGG
rnacentral:misc_RNA from 1 species